rnacentral:rRNA from 1 species
UUUUAAGAGUUUGAUCCUGGCUCAGGACGAACGCUGGCGGCGUGCUUAACACAUGCAAGUCGAACGAAGCUUGAUUACGGAUUCUUCGGAUGAAGUAUGAUAUGACUGAGUGGCGGACGGGUGAGUAACGCGUGAGUAACCUGCCCUUCAGAGGGGGAUAGCGUUUGGAAACGAACGGUAAUACCGCAUAAUGUAUUUUGACCGCAUGAUCGAAAUACCAAAGAUUUAUCGCUGAAGGAUGGACUCGCGUCUGAUUAGGUAGUUGGUGGGGUAACGGCCUACCAAGCCGACGAUCAGUAGCCGGACUGAGAGGUUGAUCGGCCACAUUGGGACUGAGACACGGCCCAGACUCCUACGGGAGGCAGCAGUGGGGAAUAUUGCACAAUGGGCGCAAGCCUGAUGCAGCAACGCCGCGUGAAGGAAGACGGUUUUCGGAUUGUAAACUUCUGUUCUUAGUGAAGAAUAAUGACGGUAGCUAAGGAGCAAGCCACGGCUAACUACGUGCCAGCAGCCGCGGUAAUACGUAGGUGGCAAGCGUUGUCCGGAAUUACUGGGUGUAAAGGGAGCGCAGGCGGGUGAUCAAGUCAGCUGUGAAAACUACGGGCUUAACCCGUAGACUGCAGUUGAAACUGUUCAUCUUGAGUGAAGUAGAGGUUGGCGGAAUUCCGAGUGUAGCGGUGAAAUGCGUAGAUAUUCGGAGGAACACCGGUGGCGAAGGCGGCCAACUGGGCUUUAACUGACGCUGAGGCUCGAAAGUGUGGGGAGCAAACAGGAUUAGAUACCCUGGUAGUCCACACUGUAAACGAUGAUUGCUAGGUGUGGGGGGUCUGACCCCUUCCGUGCCGGAGCUAACGCAAUAAGCAAUCCACCUGGGGAGUACGACCGCAAGGUUGAAACUCAAAGGAAUUGACGG